rnacentral:rRNA from 1 species
UAGUAUCAGCGUGCCAGCCGCCGCGGUAAUACGAAGGGGGCUAGCGUUGUUCGGAAUUACUGGGCGUAAAGGGCGCGUAGGCGGCCGUUUAAGUUAGGUGUGAAAGUCCUGGGCUCAACCUGGGGACUGCACUUAAUACUGGAUGGCUUGAAUUCGGGAGAGGAUAGCGGAAUUCCCAGUGUAGAGGUGAAAUUCGUAGAUAUUGGGAAGAACACCGGUGGCGAAGGCGGCUAUCUGGACCGACAUUGACGCUGAGGCGCGAAAGCGUGGGGAGCAAACAGGAUUAGAUACCCUGGUAGUCCACGCCGUAAACGAUGAGUGCUAGACGUUGGGAAGCUUAGCUUUUCAGUGUCGCAGCUAACGCAUUAAGCACUCCGCCUGGGGAGUACGGUCGCAAGAUU